UCCAUUGUUGUGUAAGGACCUUUAUGUGCAGCUCAAAGUACCCAUGUCAUAGAUUAGGUUCUCUGAUAUCAGAUGCUGAGAUGGAGUUUGGGGUGCAAGGCACUUAUUACGGAAAAGAGGAGACAGAAGCCAGACUGGGCUGAGGAAGAAGUCGAACUGUGAUGCAGGCCCAGUGAAGCUUCAACCAGCCUGCCAGGGAGUUUUUGAGUUUGAAGUUCAGUUGCAGCUCUGCUGGCUUCAACUGGGAUCAACUGGACUGGGAUCCAGGCCAUGAGUAGGAUUCAAGUCUGUUCCACAGUUCUCCUCAUUCUGGGACCAGUGGCUACUGUGACAUUCUCUUCUCAUGACAGAGGACAGGAUUACAAAAGACCAAGCCAAACCACACCCACAUUUAAAACCUCUGCUCAUGUCACAUCCACUAACGUUCCAUUGGCCAAUGAGGGGUAUAACUUCCCAGGCAUUUCUUCGUGAGGUGGAGUGGUAGGCCCGAGGCAAUCCUCUGAAGAAGGGAGCAGCUGUAAUCUGAGAUCAACAAAAUCUCACAGCAGCUGGGGGUCAGGUGCAAGGGCGAGGUUAAGGGAAUCUGGGAGGGGCACCAACAGCAUCUAAUAAAUGGUUCAUGAAAGAUCAUCACAAAAUAAAAUAACUGUAUUUUCUUUACAUACCCAUAGCAAAUACUGCUGUUUCUUUCCUAAUAUCCAUUCUCCCCUGCUUCCUUUACAAAAACGAAAAACCGAGAUAAUUUAGGUCAUCUAGAAUAAAAAUUACAUUUCUCAGACUCCCUUCUAACUAGGCAUGGCCAUAUAACUAUGUUCUGGACACCAGAUGAAGGGAGACGGUUAUGUGGAAGCUUACAGGAAGCUGCCUUAAGAGACAGCUGGUGUCACCCUCUGCUCCUUCUUCUUUGUCCUUUUCUCCAUUCUGCCAGCUUGAAUACAUCUGUGAUGAAUGGAUCAGGAACAGAAAUCUAGCACCGUGAGGUGGCCUAGGGAAUGAAGGCCAGCAGAACCCCAAGUUAGAAAGGACCCUGGUUUGUGAGAUCACUGUGACCCACAGCCACCACACUUUCAACAUAGGGAGGUAUAAUCUUCUACCCAG